UGAGUGAGGGCACACAUCUGGGUUUUCCAGAAUCCUCAUUGCUGGAGGUCUUCAUUUUCAGCACUUGCGAUGAUGAUGACUCCUCCCAGCUAGUUGCUUAUUCCUUUUGCAGCCUCCUUGCACGUGGUGGUGCCCCAACUUUGUUUCUGCCAAGUUCUUCUCAUCUAUUCAGGUCCUCUUAGGAGGUUGUGGUGGUCAGAUGGCAGGCGUCCAGACCUCUUCCUAACUCUCCAUGUUUGCAGUGGUUGGAGAACUCGUCUGUUUCAGUUCAUCAGGCUUCAUUCUGCUGAGGUGUUGGGGCCUUGUUCAAAGAUGACUGGACUGUAAGGGUAAUCCUGGCCUCACUCUCCUUUCCCAGCCAUCUUGAAAUGCCCUCCAGAGCAAGACGGAAUGACAGCAGUCACCCCUGCCUCAGACACUUCCUCGAGUCACUGACAACUGCCAAAGACGAGAGGCUGGAAGCUAGGCUAAGAUGGAAAGAUGAGAGGUUUGGACUUCACCUCCCCUCAUUGCCAUUUGUGACUUGUGAGUUAUGUUGCUUUUUUUGGAGGGGGCGGUGGGCAGUUGUCCCAGGUCAGUAACCUUUUUCCUUUGUCCCAAGAUAAAUCCCCAAAGCAAUUACCAAGAAAAAGAAAAAAACAAAGUUUCUGUUUGGCUUUUUACUGCUCUGGCCCAUAAACAGCAGUCUGGGAUCAAGGGCGUUGUGGGUGCGCAGGAUUUAAUCUCCGCCAGGUUUUUGUCCCAUAAACAUCCUUUCAGCUGUCCUGGCCCCAGACAUCAUUCCCUUUGUGCUGCUGAUGCAUGGUCUGCGAUGGAGUGGCCUGCUACAUUGCUCUCUGUGGACCCAACUACCACCAAUUCUGACCCUUCAAGCCUGGAAAAUCCCAGCUCAUUCAUGCUUGAGAUAUUUGGACCCAAGACAGUCCCUGACUUGACAGUUAAAUAUAAUUCAAUGGAACAGAGAGGCCUGGCAUAGUGGAAAGAGCACGGCUUUGGGGAGUCAGGACAAUUUAAGUCUGAAUCCCAGUGUCAUGCCUACAAACAAUGUGACUUUGGUCAGACCAGGUACUUAACUUCUGGAAGCCCUCGUCUUUCCUCUGAUUCCUACUAUCAGGGCUGUUUUGUGGACUGAAUAAAGUAUCAGAUGUAAAGUAAUUGGUAAAGUAAAACCGAGUUCUUAUCCCCUUUGGUCGCUGGUGUCACAGACUGGAGUGCUGAAACCACAUUUUCAGAAGGUUUCUGGUGAAACUAAACCCAGUCCUGAAGAAACUAACGAAGAUGAUGGGGGGUCCAGAUCCCAGGCCCUAUGAGGAGCAGGUGAAGGAACUGAGCAUUUGGUGUGGAGAAGAUGAGGAUCUUCACUAACUGCCUUCACAUCUGGGAGUCACCCAAAUCUGAAAGCAAGAGCAGAUUUGGUCUCUCCGCC